rnacentral:sRNA from 1 species
UUGCUUGCUUCCCUUCCCCCAUCUUGCUGUGUGACCUAUACCUCCCCACAACAUCUCAGAUAUCGUCCUGGCCCUGGAUGUGUUCCGGAAGGGGUGGCUCUUUGCCAGCUGUGCCAAGGAUCAGAGCGUCCGCAUCUGGAGAAUGAACAAGGCUGGCCAGGUGAUCUGCGUGGCUCAGGGUUCCGGUCACACACACAGCGUGGGCACUGUCUGCUGCUCUAGGCUGAAGGAGUCCUUCCUGGUAACAGGCAGCCAGGACUGCACUGUGAAGCUGUGGCCUCUUCCCAAAGCCUUGCUGUCCAAGAACACAGCCCCAGACAACGGCCCCAUCCUCCUGCAGGCCCGGACCACUCAGCGCUGCCAUGAUAAGGACAUCAACAGCGUGGCUAUUGCCCCCAAUGACAAGCUGCUGGCCACAGGCUCACAGGACCGCACGGCCAAGCUCUGGGCCCUGCCGCAGUGCCAGCUGCUGGGUGUCUUCUCAGGCCACCGGCGUGGCCUCUGGUGCGUCCAGUUCUCUCCCAUGGACCAGGUGCUGGCCACGGCCUCAGCUGACGGCACCAUCAAGCUCUGGGCACUCCAGGACUUCAGCUGUCUCAAGGUAAGCGGCGCUCCAGGCCCUCCCCACCUCCCGCCCUGGUGACAUCUCAUGCCCUACCCCCCACCUUGCAGACAUUUGAGGGGCACGAUGCUUCUGUGCUGAAAGUGGCCUUUGUGAGCCGUGGCACGCAGCUGCUGUCCAGCGGCUCGGAUGGCCUCGUGAAGCUCUGGACCAUCAAGAACAACGAGUGUGUGCGGACACUGGAUGCCCACGAGGACAAGGUCUGGGGGCUGCACUGCAGCCGGCUGGACGACCGCGCCCUCACUGGGGCCAGUGACUCCCGAGUCAUCCUCUGGAAGGUUGUGGGCCCCAAGGGCAGGGAAGAGUCGGGGUGGAGUGGAGGCCCCAUCUGACCCCAGUCUAACCCCAGGAUGUGACCGAGGCGGAGCAGGCAGAG